rnacentral:rRNA from 1 species
UACGAACUGUGCGAACGUUAUUCGGAAUCACUGGGCUUACAGGGUGCGUAGGCGGCUCAACAGGUCAGGUGUGAAAGCCCCCGGCUCAACCGGGGAACUGCGCUUGAAACUGUUAGGCUCGAGUCAGCUAGAGGUACACGGAACUUCCAGUGGAGCGGUGAAAUGUGUUGAUAUUGGAAGGAACACCGGAGGCGAAAGCGGUGUACUGGGGCUGGUCUGACGCUGAGGCACGAAAGCGUGGGGAGCAAACAGG